GUCGAUGUCGUCAGCUGUUGGUA
rnacentral:siRNA from 1 species